AUACGUAGGGGGCGAGCGUUGUACGGAAUGAUUGGGCGUAAAGGGCGCGUAGGCGGAGCGGUAAGUCUGGAGUGAAAGUCCUGCUUUCAAGGUGGGAAUUGCUUUGGAUACUGCCGCGCUUGAGUGCAGGAGAGGUUAUCGGAAUUCCCGGUGUAGCGGUGAAAUGCGUAGAGAUUGGGAAGAACACCAGUGGCGAAGGCGGCUUACUGGGCUGUAACUGACGCUGAGGCGCGAAAGCGUGGGGAGCGAACAGGAUUAGAUACCCUGGUAGUCCACGCUGUAAACGAUGAAUGCUAGGUGUAGGGGGUAUCGACCCCUCCUGUGCCGGAGUAAACGCAAUAAGCAUUCCGCCUGGGGAGUACGGCCGCAAGGCUGAAACUCAAAGGAAUUGACGGGG
rnacentral:rRNA from 1 species